UAAAGAGCAAGUAACGUCUAAAUUAACUUUUUUUUGCUGAUGAACUGUAUAAAUGAGUGUCUAAUAGUGUUUUAAAUGUGUGUAUUCAUUAUUUUAGCAUUUUGGUGCAUUUUCUUAAAAAAUUAAAAAUUCUGCCUAAAUACCACAGUAUAGCUCCACCUUCAGCUUAAAACAUAGAAUUUGACUCAUUUUGAAUAAAUUUUAGCCAAUGGCUAAAGAGUAAGAUACUACGUAAUCCAGUAGAGUACUACGUAGCAGCUCUGUGUCAACGUUAUAAAAGCAUCGGGAGUCUCGGCCACGCCUUGUGGCGAGUUGGGAGUUGGAUUUGCAUGAGAGUGUAGGAGGCUAGCCGUAGUUCAGCAUUAGCAUAUAGCAUUAGCAUAUCCUAGUCUUUAGCAUAGCUUUUAGUGUUAUACAUACUUAUUUAGUGUUAGCUUGGCUGUUGGAUAUUGUAGUUUAGUUACUGUUUGGCUGUUAGUGUAAUUAGGAAAGUAGUUCGGGUUUAGUGCUCCAUAUCGUGUUAGCAUGGUGAGAUGGUGUAGUGUAGUAUGGUUGCGGAGCUCUGUCGGGUUGCACUCCUUUCCGCUGGACUUAGAAAUUAGGCGCCAGUGGUUGCGUGUCUGGAAAAGAUUCAGCUCCCGCCUGGUGCUGUAGUUUGCAACCAGCAUUUUACCCGCGAUUCUGCACGUCUCCGUUCCAAGAGGGAGGCUGUGCCCACCGUGGCUCUUCCGCGAUUUAGAUGCAGCCCACCGACUCUGCUCCCCCACCAUGACGGGCUACAGUCUGAGGCUAAAUCUACCCAAGACACUGGCUGUCAGACUGAUUUAGUAAUCUGCAAGAAUGCACUUGUCCAGGCUGACGUGGUGUUACCCGUAGCAAAGAGCUCACAGCCUCAGUGUCUUGUGACACAGGGACCAUGACAGAAAUUCAUCUUCCAGAAGGUCCCAGAGCAUCCACACCUCCUGAAAAGACCACGGUGUGAGGUGUCUGCUGUUGAUUCCAGCUUCCACCUCAGUGACAGUGCAAGCUCAGUGAACUGUUCAAGGAGGCUACUGAUUCUGGCCCUGUGACACUUGGUGGUCACCACCAGGUGGUGACGUGUGAGCUGAUUCACCUGGACACUCAGCAAAAUAUGGACUCUACACCAUGAGGCAGGCACACGUUAAUAACUCUAUAAGAGCACAUAAGCAUGAGGAUGUCCUCACACACCUGUAACCUAUCAGCUCAUCUGGCAGAAUAGAGAGAGAAGAGACAACACCACAUCUCCUGUUCCUGGAAAGCCUUCAGCCAUCCUUCGAUGACUGAGAACCUCCAUCAGCUCUGUCUCCUGUCUGCCUACAAUUAUUAUAAUAAAUAUUGUGUUUGACAAGUUUUUUGUGCUGCCAAAUAUCUCAUUUUGAUUCCAGUUUUGAUAUUUUAAUGGAUAUUUAUAAAUUACAUUAAUUGAAUUAUCACAUUGUCGCAUGUUUAACUAGCUCUAUUGUGAUGAACUAAACUAGCACCUCACUGUUAAAAGCUCGUUUUAAUUUCAAGCAUGUUUAAGUAUUUAUGGACAUGAACAAAAACAGGAAAUAUAUAAAUUGAGAUUUAUUUAAUUAAUAUAACAAAUAAGGGGGAAAGAGUCAUUGAAAGGCACAUUCUUCUGGAAGUUCCUGAUCCCGACGACAUCAGCAGGAGACCAGCUGCAGACACCAGAGGAUCACCUGCAACCAAGAGCAGCUAGUAUCAGUAAAUAAAUAAUGAAAUCAGGGCAGUUUUAAUGGGCUGAACACAUUACAGAAUAAUUUUCUCAUGGUAUAUUUUCAUAACUUUAUGCAGCAGACUAGCUUGAGCCCAGAUCUCCUGGAGAGCUGCUAUCCAGCACGUUUCAGUGGAUUUUCCUGCUUUAACAGGUUAGAUAAGCUGUUAAGCAGCUCAGCUGUUUGUUGCUGAUUAAAACCAGGUGUGUUGAUGCAGAUAAAUCUCUAAAACAUGCUGAAUACUAGCUUUUUAGGGCCAUGGAGACAAACCCUGCAGCUAAUCCAAUGCUAUGGCUAACGGCUACUUACGUUCAGAGAUGGGUCUGUUGGGUCGGUUCCAGUAAUUUCAGGCAACUCACAAGCUCAAAACAAUAAGGCUCAUGUCCGGUUGUCUCCUCCAAAUAGACUUGGUCCCUUUCUUCUCGAGUGUCUGGGUAAGGAGGGGGAGAAACGUCCUCCACUUCUAAUGACUGCUCAGAGUGAAGGGAGCUAGCUUCGUCUAGUUAGCCGUCUCUUCGUCACUGCCACGGCUCCGCCCUCUCGGUCCUCCAGGCAACGCCUACUAAUGUUGCAGUUUUCAAAAUUGAUACGUGGGUGGGGUAAGACUCUGAGGCACACUUGACAUGCACUUUAAGUGUAUUGAAAGCCUAAAAUUCUGUAUAAUUAAUGAGCAUCCGACAGACGUGACCGCCGCCUCAGACCCACGUGACCACAUAGCUAGCUCCGUGGAAAGGCCUCAGUACAGCCUCGGUCUGGCUUGGAAACUGCUCCGGCAUUUUGAGUCUCUGUGUUUGUGUAUUCUUCUUUGGAUAUUAUUGGUGCAAUUGUUGGACAAAAUGACUUGCAGUGGUAUUAAUUGCACUAAUAGAGCGUCCAAGGAGUCUCCACUUCAUUUUUUUCGGGAAGGACCUGAUUGGUGUCCAGAACCUGCUGAAGAAGCACCAGGCUCUGCAGGCUGAGAUCACAGGUCAUGAACCUCGCAUCAAGGCUGUCACCCAGAAAGGAGAGACCAUGGUGGAAGAAGGUCACUUCGCUGGUGAGGAAGUGAAGACUAAACUGUGGGAGCUUCAUGGACGUUGGGACACGCUGAAGGCCAAGGCGUCCCAGAGGAGGCAGGACCUGGAGGACUCUCUGCAGGCCCAGCAGUACUUUGCGGAUGCUAAUGAGGCCGAGUCCUGGAUGAGGGAGAAGGAGCCCAUCGUUGGAAGUCCAGACUAAGGGAAAGACGAGGACUUGGCCGAGGCUCUCCUGAAGAAGCACGAGGCCCUGAUGUCGGACCUGUCGGCUUACGGCAGCAGCAUCCAGGCCCUGAAGGAGCAGGCCCAGUCCUGCAGGCAACAAGGUGAUCAGCAGGUGCUUUUGUCCUGCAGGACCUGAAGGCCAACGAGUCCCGCCUGAGGGACAUCAACAAGGUGGCAUCUGAACUGGAGUCAGAAGGUCUGAUGGCUGAGGAGGCUCCUAUGGUUCAGGCUCAGGUGAGCGUCACCUGUCUGCAGCAGCUGGUCCCUCUCACUUCCUGGUUUAACUCUGCUCGUCUCUGUUUGUAGCAACAAGAACAUCUGGGUUCUGCUCCUGGAAAGGUGCGUGUUGUCCUCCGCCUCCACCAGAACCAGACGUGGUGUUUAUGUUACCACUCAUUUGUUUGUUUACAGGAUGAAGCCGACUCUAACACGGCGUCACCCUGGAAGGUGAGUUCAUUCAGCUGAUCAGAGGUCACCUCUGAUGGCAGCAGUCACGGCCGACCGUGCUGACAUCACACAGGAAUUCAGACCGUACGGUUGGGCGUUCAGACGACGGCUAACUUUAAUUCCAUCAAGGUAAGAGGAAGCUCUUCCCUUCCUGUCUGAGCGAUCCGUCUCCAGGUUUCUUCGUCCGGCGUCCAGCCCGCUGGCGUCCACCUUCAUCUCAUCUCACUUCAUUUAUAGUGCAAUACUUUCACAAUAUCAUUUUCCCACACUUCUGUAUAACUGUAUUUUGUUGUUUUUCAAUAAAGAAUGACAAAUUAUUUAAGUUUGGUUUUUGUUGCACACAAAUAUAUAUCUGUAAAAAAUAUCUACAAAGCUAAUGUUUACAUAACAAGUAUGAUUGGGUUUUGCAAUACGGCACUCAAGUUUAUUUUAGUAAGAUUUUCAAACCAAGUAAAGUUAGUAAAGAACACAUUUCUAUUGUCUGCUAAGAAACUGUUGGGAUUUAAAAUGGGCCUGUUGUACAAAUAACUUGUAAAUGAUUAUUCCUCACUUUUGUCUUAACCAAAGAAAUUCCAGUAAUUGAGCAAAAACAUUUAUUUUUAACACUACAUUUUAUAAAACAGGGCGCAAAGUGUCGGCACAUGUAUGUAUGUCGAUGGUCCGCCCCAACCAAACCAAGAGACACAGACGUCAGGGAGGCCAAGGUUGUCUCUGCAGCUCUCUGGGCACCACGCCUCACUCAGCUGUCUCCAAUGAUCCAAAUGGCUAUGGAGAAAAAAUAACAGGUUUGGCCUAGCUGUUUAAAGUACAAAACCAUUCAUGAAGUGGUCAAGACAAGUACUUGGAACUUACACGCUGCGUUGUGUAGCUGAUGUUGGAGACACACAGGCUGCCAUGGUGACCUUUUAAUAGAUCUAAGAAAAAAAUGUAAUAAAAGAAUGAAACUUAAAAACUCCCAGACCUCAUGUCAUAUUUACUCAUCAGCUAUGGCUGAUUUGUUUGGAUCACAGUGAGUUACACUAAUUCUAAUAUAUUUUUAUUUCUAUUAUACAUACAUACUUUUUAACUGUUAUUUUCACAUGACUGUUAUCAGGCUCUCUUGUUCUGGUUCUGAUGAUAACUCUGUGUCUUCCAGUAAGUUAUCUUGUGCUUACUUCAUCUGUAUAAUGUCUCUUUACUUUUGGUAAAUUGUACUGAGUCCAGAAUAAAGGCUAGUUGGCUGUACAAGAUACAAACAAGUAUUACGUUUUGGAAAUAUAUGAAACACCGCCAGCAUCUGUUAGAGCCUGUGGCGGGGUGCUGAGGGCCGGCUCCAGCCCAGGAAUGAGCUCUACACGCCGGCCGGGAGGGUUUGAAACACCGCCAUCCUCUCCUCUGCUGGCUGUAAAUUCUGUUAUGGUUACCGGUGCUUGUGUUGCAAUGUGAAACGCUUGGUCUCAGAUUUUGUAAGAAAGAUAAUAAAAUGUCCCCCCAAAAUACGA